rnacentral:lncRNA from 1 species
CUUGUCUGUUUUGAGAAAGCCUGGAACGGAAAAGCUAGACAACAUUCUGACUGGAGUAAAGGAUUCAAUAUGCAAGGUAUUAUGGGUAAGCAACAUUUUAACUUUUCGGAGAUUGGAUAUGUUGUUCUAAGGGCAGGUCCCUCUAUUAGACUAUAUAAAUCUUAAUAAAGUUGGUUUUUUCAAAUAUACUUCUGACUUUAUUUAGUGACAAUCAUUACUUUUUUCUUUCUACAUUUACAUAUUGUUUGUGAAGGCAUAUUUGCAUCUUUGUUUGUUUUGACGUUCAAUAAUUGGAACAAAGAAUCCUUUGGUGACUCGCCUGAUAGAAAAGACGAAUUGAGGUCAAUAGUACUUGUUAUAUUAUUGUUGCUAUACUUGUGUGUAAAAUUUUAUUUUUCUUCGAGUAUGACAUAAUCCCCAUAACAACAAUGGUGGCAACUUAAUUAAAUUUUUGAGAUUGAGCAGGUAAAUAAUUUUACUUCAUGAAUAAUAUAGUUCAUACAAAUGAUAAUUUCUUUCACGCCAGUUUCUUGAAAUUAGAAGUAUACUAAAGAUACGAGACUAACUUAAUUAGAAUGAUCUUCAUUUUUGUAGAUGCAUUGGUCUAGCUUUUUCCCUCCGAUUUAUGCUACUUGUGUAUCAGUCUUCAUCACAUGUGCUAAUUAUUUCCACCUUGUUACAAUUCUAAUUGUAUUAAUAGAAAUAUAUUUUUGUCUAGAAUCCUCUUUUCUGCAAAAUAAAUUUGUUCGGACUUCAUAAAUUUCAAUACUCAUUUAUCGUAGUACUAUAUGCUGCUGUAUUAAUUCCUUGUCUUCCUCUUCCUUUUCCUCUAAUCUAUUCACAAUUUUCUCACGUGUCAUCUCUAUAUUGGUAUAGGCCAAAACAUAGAAGCAUUCGACGAUGUGUUAUGUGGGUAAUGGACAGAUGGUGGUGGUCUGUUGGACUGUAGUUUGAAGAGCCUUUUGAGUUAUUUGGACUUGUGCUAAAGUUGGAGUAUCUUCUAUCUAUUUUCCAAACAUAAUCUUCAAGUUGAACUCAAUCAUAUGGUCCAUGUCAAACGUUGAAAAAUAUCAAAUGUGUCAACUAUACCAGGAAAACAGAUAAUGUAACCCCACUCAUUUCUUAUUCACGUAUAUUUUUUAUUAAUCUAGG